rnacentral:rRNA from 1 species
AGUGAAUAGAUACCCCGGUAGUCCACGCCCUAAACGAUGUCAACUAGGUGUUGGGUGGGUAAAACCAUUUAGUACCGUAGCUAAACGCGUGAAAGUUGACCGCCUGGGGAGUACGGCCGCAAGGUUAAAACUCAAAGGAAUUGACGGGGACCCGCACAAGCGGUGGAUGAUGUGGAUUAAUUCGAUGCAACGCGAAAAACCUUACCUACCCUUGACAUGCCAGGAACUUGCCAGAGAUGGCUUGGUGCCCGAAAGGGAGCCUGGACACAGGUGCUGCAUGGCUGUCGUCAGCUCGUGUCGUGAGAUGUUGGGUUAAGUCCCGCAACGAGCGCAACCCUUGUCGUUAAUUGCCAUCAUUUGGUUGGGCACUUUAACGAGACUGCCGGUGACAAACCGGAGGAAGGUGGGGAUGACGUCAAGUCCUCAUGGCCCUUAUGGGUAGGGCUUCACACGUCAUACAAUGGUCGGUACAGAGGGUUGCCAAGCCGCGAGGCGGAGCCAAUCCCAGAAAGCCGAUCGUAGUCCGGAUUGCAGGCUGCAACUCGCCUGC